rnacentral:pre_miRNA from 1 species
CCGAGGGAACAAGUGAAGCUGCCAGCAUGAUCUAGCGUUGGUUGGUCCAAAAUAAUAAAUUUUAUUUACAUUUGCACACGCCAACCCUAGCUAGGUCAUGCUCUGACAGCCUCACUCCUUCCCUCU